rnacentral:rRNA from 1 species
AUUGAACGCUGGCGGCAGGCCUAACACAUGCAAGUCGAGCGGAUGAAGGGAGCUUGCUCCUGGAUUCAGCGGCGGACGGGUGAGUAAUGCCUAGGAAUCUGCCUGGCAGUGGGGGAUAACGUCCGGUAACGGGCGCUAAUACCGCACACGGCCUGAGGGAGAAAGUGGGGGUUCUUCGGACCUCACGCUACCAGAUGAUCCUAGGUCGGAUUAGCUAGUUGGUGGGGUAAAGGCCUACCAAGGCGACGAUCCGUAACUGGUCUGAGAGGAUGAUCAGUCACACUGGAACUGAGACACGGUCCAGACUCCUACGGGAGGCAGCAGUGGGGAAUAUUGGACAAUGGGCGAAAGCCUGAUCCAGCCAUGCCGCGUGUGUGAAGAAGGUCUUCGGAUUGUAAAGCACUUUAAGUUGGGAGGAAGGGCAGUAAGUUAAUACCUUGCUGUUUUGACGUUACCAACAGAAUAAGCACCGGCUAACUUCGUG